rnacentral:rRNA from 1 species
GACGUAGGGUGCAAGCGUUAAUCGGAAUUACUGGGCGUAAAGCGUGCGCAGGCGGUGAUGUAAGACAGGUGUGAAAUCCCCGGGCUUAACCUGGGAACUGCAUUUGUGACUGCAUCGCUGGAGUGCGGCAGAGGGGGAUGGAAUUCCGCGUGUAGCAGUGAAAUGCGUAGAUAUGCGGAGGAACACCGAUGGCGAAGGCAAUCCCCUGGGCCUGCACUGACGCUCAUGCACGAAAGCGUGGGGAGCAAACAGG